GGCAGUGGUAGCUCAGUGGUUAAGAUGGUGGACUAUUGAUUGAAAGGUCGCGAGUUCAAAUCCCAGCACUACCC